GAUGAGCGCUAGCUACAGGCUUAACACAUGCAAGUCGAGGGGAAACGACAUCGAAAGCUUGCUUUUGAUGGGCGUCGACCGGCGCACGGGUGAGUAACGCGUAUCCAACCUGCCCACCACUUGGGGAUAACCUUGCGAAAGUAAGACUAAUACCCAACGAUAUCUCUAGAAGACAUCUGAAGGAGAUUAAAGAUUUAUCGGCGAUGGAUGGGGAUGCGUCUGAUUAGCUGGUUGGCGGGGUACCGGCCCACCAAGGCGACGAUCAGUAGGGGUUCUGAGAGGAAGGUCCCCCACAUUGGAACUGAGACACGGUCCAAACUCCUACGGGAGGCAGCAGUGAGGAAUAUUGGUCAAUGGGCGAGAGCUUGAACCAGCCAAGUAGCGUGCAGGAUGACGGCCCUAUGGGUUGUAAACUGCUUUUAUAAGGGAAUAAAGUGAGCCUCGUGAGGCUUUUUGCAUGUACCUUAUGAAUAAGGACCGGCUAAUUCCGUGCCAGCCGCCGCUGUAA
rnacentral:rRNA from 1 species